rnacentral:rRNA from 1 species
AGACCGUGGCUCAGUUCAGAUCGUAGGCUGCAACUCGCCUACGUGAAGGCGGAAUCGCUAGUAAUCGCAGGUCAGCAUACUGCGGUGAAUACGUUCCCGGGCCUUGUACACACCGCCCGUCACACCAUGGAAGUUGGCCACGCCCGAAGCCGUUACUCCAACCCUUGUGGAGGAGGACGUCGAAGGUGGGGCUGAUGACUGGGGUGAAGUCGUAACAAGGUAUCCGUACCGGAAGGUGCGGAUGGAUCACCUCCUAA